rnacentral:misc_RNA from 1 species
GAAAUGCGAUAAGUAAUGUGAAUUGUAGAAUUCAGUGAAUCAUCGAAUCUUUGAACGCACCUUGCGCUCCUUGGUAUUCCUUGGAGCAUGCCUGUUUGAGUAUCAUGAAAUCUUCAAAGUAAAUCUUUUGUUAACUCAAUUGGUUUCUACUUUGGUAUUGGAGGUCUUUGCAGCUUCACACCUGCUCCUCUUUGUUCAUUAGCUGGAUCUCAGUGUUAUGCUUGGUUCCACUCGGCGUGAUAAGUUAUCUAUCGCUGAGGACACUGUAAAAGGUGGCCAAAGUAAAUGCAGAUGAACCGCUUCUAAUAGUCCAUUGACUUGGACAAUACUUUUAUGAUCUGAUCUCAAAUCAGGUAGGACUACCCGCUGAACUUAAGC